rnacentral:rRNA from 1 species
UGAAACGCUAGCGACAGGCCUAACACAUGCAAGUCGAGGGGCAGCACAAGGAGCAAUCUGAGGUGGCGACCGGCGCACGGGUGAGUAACACGUAUGCAACCUGCCUGUAAGCGGGGAAUAACCCGUUGAAAGACGGACUAAUACCGCAUAAUACUAAAUUACUGCAUGGUAAUUUAUUUAAACAUUUAUGGCUUACAGAUGGGCAUGCGCAUGAUUAGCUAGUUGGAGAGGUAACGGCUCCCCAAGGCAACGAUCAUUAGGGGUUCUGAGAGGAAGGUCCCCCCACACUGGUACUGAGACACGGACCAGACUCCUACGGGAGGCAGCAGUGAGGAAUAUUGGUCAAUGGACGAGAGUCUGAACCAGCCAAGUCGCGUGCAGGAAGAAUUGUCCUAUGGAUUGUAAACUGCUUUUGCAGGGGAAUAAAGUGCAUCACGUGUGAUGUUUUGUAUGUACUCUGCGAAUAAGGAUCGGCUAACUCCGUGCCAGCCGCCGC